GGCGAGUGAGCGGCAAAAGCUCAAAUUUGAAAUCUGGUACCUUCGGUGCCCGAGUUGUAAUUUGGAGAGGGCAACUUUGGGGCCGUUCCUUGUCUAUGUUCCUUGGAACAGGACGUCAUAGAGGGUGAGAAUCCCGUGUGGCGAGGAGUGCGGUUCUUUGUAAAGUGCCUUCGAAGAGUCGAGUUGUUUGGGAAUGCAGCUCUAAGUGGGUGGUAAAUUCCAUCUAAAGCUAAAUAUUGGCGAGAGACCGAUAGCGAACAAGUACAGUGAUGGAAAGAUGAAAAGAACUUUGAAAAGAGAGUGAAAAAGUACGUGAAAUUGUUGAAAGGGAAGGGCAUUUGAUCAGACAUGGUGUUUUGUGCCCUCUGCUCCUUGUGGGUAGGGGAAUCUCGCAUUUCACUGGGCCAGCAUCAGUUUUGGUGGCAGGAUAAAUCCAUAGGAAUGUAGCUUGCCUCGGUAAGUAUUAUAGCCUGUGGGAAUACUGCCAGCUGGGACUGAGGACUGCGACGUAAGUCAAGGAUGCUGGCAUAAUGGUUAUAUGCCGCCCGUCUUGA
rnacentral:rRNA from 1 species